UAUUUGAUUUAUGGGCAGUGGAUGGACCUACAACAUUUGGUCGGAUUAUGUCAAUUUAAUGUGAGCAACAAUCU